UACGGAGGGGGCUAGCGUUGUUCGGAAUUACUGGGCGUAAAGCGCACGUAGGCGGCUUUGUAAGUUAGAGGUGAAAGCCCAGGGCUUAACCCUGGAAUUGCCUUUAAGACUGCAUCGCUAGAAUCAUGGAGAGGUAAGUGGAAUUCCGAGUGUAGAGGUGAAAUUCGUAGAUAUUCGGAAGAACACCAGUGGCGAAGGCGACUUACUGGACACGUAUUGACGCUGAGGUGCGAAAGCGUGGGGAGCAAACAGG
rnacentral:rRNA from 1 species